rnacentral:rRNA from 1 species
UGUUAGUUAGUGGCGGACGGGUGAGUAACGCGUGGGUAACCUGCCGUAUACCGGGGGAUAACACCUGGAAACAGGUGCUAAUACCGCAUAAGCGCACGGGACCGCAUGGUCCAGUGUGAAAAACCGAGGUGGUAUGCGAUGGACCCGCGUCUGAUUAGCCAGUUGGCAGGGUAACGGCCUACCAAAGCGACGAUCAGUAGCCGGCCUGAGAGGGUGGACGGCCACAUUGGGACUGAGACACGGCCCAAACUCCUACGGAAGGCAGCAG